GAUGAACGCUAGCGGCAGGCCUAAUACAUGCAAGUCGGACGGGAUUCAGGAGCUUGCUUCUGAUGAGAGUGGCGCACGGGUGCGUAACACGUAUGUAACCUACCUUUAUCAGGGGGAUAGCCUCUCGAAAGAGAGAUUAAGCCCGCAUAAAAUCACAGCACAGCAUUGUGUAAUGAUCAAAUAUUUAUAGGAUAAAGAUGGGCAUGCGGAACAUUAGCUAGAUGGCGGGGUAACGGCCCACCAUGGCGACGAUGUUUAGGGGAUCUGAGAGGAUGGCCCCCCACACUGGUACUGCGACACGGACCAGACUCCUACGGGAGGCAGCAGUAAGGAAUAUUGGUCAAUGGGCGGAAGCCUGAACCAGCCAUGCCGCGUGCAGGAAGACGGCCCUACGGGUUGUAAACUGCUUUUAUACGGGAAUAACCCCAGAUACGUGUAUCUGGCUGACUGUACUGUAAGAAUAAGGAUCGGCUAACUCCGUG
rnacentral:rRNA from 1 species